rnacentral:ncRNA from 1 species
UAAAUGGCUGUGAAGAGGCCCAGUAGAUUCUGACACACUUCCAGAGAGGGGGCGGAUGGUGGGACGUCCCUGUGUCACUCAGGAUUGAACCUUCCUCGGAGCUGUGCAUGAGGCAGCAGGAGAUGAAGCAGAUGAUUGAUGUAAAGUUUCCUCUGCGAAAGUGCAACGUAUUCCGGCGUUAACGGAGCGAGAGAGAACCGGCACGUCCGGUUAAUCAGGGUGGUACCGCCGAUAGUGCAGACUGUUCGGUCCCUAUG